UGCAUACUUACUUAUAUGGAUGCAUGUAACACAUCACACAAUUUGGAGUCAAUGAAUUCUGAUUGUACUGUGCUAAUUUGAUUCUCUUCUUUUUGUAGAGCCUCUGAAACAGGUGUCUCAGCCUGAAGUUGUAGAUGUCAGGAAAGAAUCUGUCCCCAUCACCUGGAACUCCCCAGCCCUGGAUGGAGGCCUCCCCAGCGAAAGGUUACGUUAUAGAAAAAAGGAAGAAAGGAAGCAGACUUUGUUUCCCAGUCACCAAAGAGCCAGUCCACGGUACCAGAUUCAAAGAGGAUGGUCUUCUGGAGGAUACAGAAUGAGCUCUGUGUGAUAGCUGUGAACUGUGCAGGCCCUGGACUUCUCAGCAUGCCCUCAACCUCUCAUUGCAAAGGAACCCAUCAGUAUGUUUGAUAUGACUGUGAGGCUGAAGAGACACAUGGUGGUUUGUGUUGGGACAGCACCGGGCAUUUUUUGAGCAUGCAGUUUAUUUUUUGACCAUUCAAUUAAUGCUAACUGAAGUGAAAUCAUUCUUGGGUAAACCUUGAGUGACCCAGGGGAGUCACUGGGUUAUAAAGGCAAUGCUUGGUGUCUCAGCACUGUCCUUUCUGAGGUACAAUUUAUAUUAACAUGGAUAUUGAUCUCGUUUCUGUAGAGGCUAAGGGCACCUUCUGUGCCUUCCUUUUUUUUUAGGUAUAGACUACUGCAUGAGCUGAGGCUCUAAAGUACUUUGCAGAAUCAGCCACAGUGUACAAGUUUAUCUGUAUCACAUCAGCUGUUUUCUCUCAGCUUUCACAAUGAUCAAACUAAUGAACUGUAGUAUAUGGUUUAUGUGGCAUCUCCUAAGCUAAUCAAGCUCUGUGCAUUUUGCUGAGUGCAAAACCUUUACAGCUUCAAGAAAUCUCUAUGACUGCUGUCCCUGAAAUAUUUUUCUGUCAGGCUGAUAAUGUACAAAUAGCUCUUGUAGACACAGAUAUCUAUUUUGUGCUCAGAGAUAUAGCUGGUUUCUGCUGCCUUCCAAGCCAGAAAGCAGAACACUAUAGCUGUAUGUUUGCCUUGGCCAGGACUUGCCACCACCACCACCAGUGAUGUGGCAAAAAGAAGGCAUACCAGCAUGAGGGAGCACAAGAACCGUUUGCCAUCCUUAUUCACAAGACCAGGCAAUUGGUUUCUGACUAGUACCAGAUUAUCCUCAAGAACAGUUAUGGAGAAUCCCUUUAUGACUUUCAGAUGCAAGUUGCAGGUACAGUAUAGAACAAACUUGAUCAUCUUGGUUACCUCUGGGUGCUGACAGGAGGUAUUCCUCUGUUGACAGAAAUUACACACAAUUUCCCCAUCAGUACCGGAGCUGGGGAGGCUGGGUCCUACCUGGUUUUAGGCAGGACAGCAGGACACAAGCAGAUGAGAACUGAUUUCCUAUUCUUCUUUAUAAAUGGCAAGUCACAUGGUUUAUUUGCACAAACCUGAGAGAUGGUAGAAAAGCUCUGAAGGGUAAGAAGGAGAUAAAUUAUUUUCUGAGAAUGAGGUCUCAUAGGAGAAUUUUGCUAUACAUUGCUAUAUUUAGGAUCCAGGGACUUACCUGAAGGGUCUUCAUGCCAGUGCAAAAGUUGGUAAUAAAGACUUCAAGAAAUGUGUUUAAACAGGCCAAAAGUGGAAAUUUUGUAGUGGACACUAGAAAUUAAAUUGCACACUCACUUCCCCUUGAUACCCUCAGGGCAUUCUGUAGACUAUUAGUGCCUCAGAGAGACACCAGCAGAGUAAUAUCCCUUCCUUUACAAGAUCACCUGCUUUGGUUUGUAAUUGGGUGUAAUUUAAUCAUGCAUUUCUAAAGUGCCUUGGGAGCCAAAUAUCCAAAAGCACUUUACAAUUUAAAGGCAUUAGUGAGAGAAGGCAUCAAGAUAUCCCCAUGGAGCAAAACCAUGAUACCUUAUUUACAGACCAAGAAACAACAAAAUUAAUUGCUUGCUUACAGUUGCAUAGAUUGAUGGGAGAAUGAGAAUUUUGAUUCCUUCUGCUCUUGCUUUCAGUUUGUAUUUGUUUACACGUUAAUAUAGGUAUGCUGGUCAGAUGCUAACAGUAAUGUGGUGUACUGUUUGUUCUUCCCUGAAUGAAAUUGUUUCCCUGAGUUUUCCCUGGUGGCAAAAAAGGCCCAGGUCAUGAAAUGUCAUGCCCAAGCUCUUUGGAUU